UCUGAUAUAGUUCAGUGGCAGAACACCCGGCUCUUCAUCCGGGAGGACACAGGUUCGAGCCCUGUUAUCAGAUCCA
rnacentral:tRNA from 1 species